rnacentral:lncRNA from 1 species
GAGGAAGACAAAACAAUUAUGUGCAUUGAAGUUUAUAACAUUGAAAAGACAUCUUUGCUCAUAUCUGCAUCUGUGAAAUGCCCUCUUAAAGUUGCACAUGAAUUAUACAGAGAAACUAGAAGCUUCUUAUUUCUAGAAUGAUCUCUUGGGUUCAUUUAGUGGAAGAAGCAUCCCAGAUCUACUUGAAGCCUUUGUGAACCAAGAAAUUUGUGGACUAUGAAACUUACUAAGAUUUUGAAAUACUAAUGUAAAACAGGUAUUGAGACUUGAGAAAUGCAAAGCUUUUAAAAUGCAUUCUAAUCCCUGAAUAAACAAGCUUAGCUCUUGGAAUCUGGUAUUGUAUUUUCAGAAGUAAGACAUCUUAAAGCAUUUCUGAUAAAGACCUGAGAGCUGGUCAUUUGGAAAACUGGGCCCUUUGAACGAUCUUAAAUGGGACACACAUUGUGAUUCUCCUGUUGAAAAUUUAUUCUUGAAUUCCUGGUGCUUGCUUGAAGUUUACACUGCUAAGAAUACUGAAGACAGUGCAAAUACAUUUAUUUUCAGCAACAUCCUUCAUGGACAAGUGCUUAUAAGGGAUGAGGAGACUAUUUCCACAGUACACAAAAAUAUCUCUGGCAACAAUAGGAGCAGUCACUCCUUUGCUCAUCUGCAAGAUAAAAUGUUCUUCUGUAAAAUAGCAGAGGCCACAUGGAGGAAGUUAUGGAGGAAGUUUGCCAAAGAUUUUGUCUACAUUCACUAA